rnacentral:rRNA from 1 species
UACGGAAGGCAGCAGUGGGGAAUAUUGCACAAUGGGCGAAAGCCUGAUGCAGCUAUGCCGCGUGUAUGAAGAAGGCCUUAGGGUUGUAAAGUACUUUCAUCGGGGAGGAAAAAACAAAACUAAUAAUUUUAUUUCUUGACGUUACCCGAAAAAGAAGCACCGGCUAACUCCGUGCCAGCAGCCGCGGUAAUACGGAGGGUGCUAGCGUUAAUCAGAAUUACUGGGCGUAAAGAGCACGUAGGUGGUUUUUUAAGUCAGAUGUGAAAUCCCUGGACUUAACCUAGGAACUGCAUUUUGAAACUGAAAUACUAGAGUAUCGUAGAGGGAGGUAGAAUUCUAGGUGUAGCGGUGAAAUGCGUAGAUAUCUGGAGGAAUACCUGUGGCGAAAGCGGCCUCCUAAACGAAUACUGACACUGAGGUGCGAAAGCGUGGGGAGCAAACAGGGAUUAGAUACC